rnacentral:tmRNA from 1 species
GGGGGCGAUCGGUUUCGACGGGAUAUGCGUCGUGGUAAAUGGCAUAUCGAGGCCCAGGCAUCUCGUUAAUCACCUGGAAAAACCAUAAAUGCCGAUUACGGCUACAUGGCCGCUGCUUAAUUAAUUAAGCUGGCCCGUCCUGGAUUUGGUGCGCCUAUGGCCGGAUUCAAGGACGUCAAUUUCAUAGGCUGGUUCUGAUUGUUGUCUGUGAUAUCAGAAUAAGACAUUAACAGACUUUGCUCAUAAUGGCUGUGUCAACGGAGCAGUUAUGGGUAAGCCUAAUCCGCUUGACUAAAUAUGUAGAUGUUUAUUGUGAUUCUAUUUCGGACGGGAGUUCGAUUCUCCCCGCCUCCACUU